rnacentral:rRNA from 1 species
CUACGGGCGGCACCAGUGAGGAAUAUUGCACAAUGGGGGGAACCCUGAUGCAGCAACGCCGCGUGGAGGAUGACGCAUUUCGGUGUGUAAACUCCUUUUAUAUGUCAAGAAAAUGACGGUAGCAUAUGAAUAAGCACCGGCUAACUCCGUGCCAGCAGCCGCGGUAAUACGGAGGGUGCAAGCGUUACUCGGAAUCACUGGGCGUAAAGGACGCGUAGGCGGGUUGGAAAGUCAGGUGUGAAAUCCUACAGCUUAACUGUAGAACUGCACUUGAAACUUCUAAUUUAGAGUAUGGGAGGGGGAGAUGGAAUUAGUGGUGUAGGGGUAAAAUCCGUAGAUAUCACUAGGAAUACCUAAAGCGAAAGCGAUCUCCUGGAACAUUACUGACGCUAAGGCGUGAAAGCGUGGGGAGCAAACAGGAUUAGAUACCCCUGUAGUC